rfam:Camelus ferus unplaced genomic scaffold scaffold1244, whole genome shotgun sequence.
GAGGGUAUAGUUCAGUGGUAGAUCACAUGCCUAGCAUGCAUGAGGUCCUGGGUUCAAUCUCCAGUACCUCUA